rnacentral:rRNA from 1 species
AUUGAACGCUGGCGGCAUGCCUUACACAUGCAAGUCGAACGGUAACAGGUCUUCGGAUGCUGACGAGUGGCGAACGGGUGAGUAAUACAUCGGAACGUGCCUAGUAGUGGGGGAUAACUACUCGAAAGAGUGGCUAAUACCGCAUGAGAUCUACGGAGGAAAGCAGGGGAUCGCAAACCUUUGUGCUCCUAAAGGGGCCGUUGGCAGAUGAGGUAGUUGGUGGGAUAAAAGCUUACCAAGCCGACGAUCUGUAGCGGGUCUGAGAGGACGAUCAGCCACACUGGGACUGAGAAACGGCCCAGACUCCUACGGGAGGCAGCAGUGGGGAAUUUUGGACAAUGGGCGCAAGCCUGAUCCAGCAAUGCCGCGUGCAGGAUGAAGGCCUUCGGGUUGUAAACUGCUUUUGCACGGAACGAAAAGCCCCGGGUUAAUACCCUGGGGUCAUGACGGUACCGUAAGAAUAAGCACCGGCUAACUACGUGCCAGCAGCCGCAGUAA